rnacentral:tRNA from 1 species
GUCGGGAUAGCUCAGUCGGUAGAGCAGAGGACUGAAAAUCCUCGUGUCACCAGUUAA